UGAAGUGGGGAAAUGUUCCAUGUGAACAUCACUUGGACAUGGUUGGUUAGUCGAUCCUAGCAGAUGGGGAAUCCUUGUAUCAAGGGGGCACUUUGCAUGAGCAUCGAAAGAGAAUUGGGUUAAUAUUCCCAAACCAGGACAUGGUGGUGGAUGACAAUGCUGGGAAAUCAAGAGAUGUCAUUAGGGGAUUGGGAAGAGUUAUAUUUUCUUUUUAACGACUUUCCCACCUUGAAAUCGGUUCAAUCAAAGAUAGGUUCCAACAUUUGAAAGAGAACCACAUGUCCUAUGGUGUUUGGUUCCCCCUCGACAGCCAUUUUAAAUAUGGUGAACCAAGUACCAUCCAUGCCCGAUCGUACUCAUAUCUGCCUCCUUGGAUUUUUCAAUGUCCAAUA
rfam:Picea glauca, whole genome shotgun sequence.